UCGGGUAUGACAAGUUUCUUUCAUACUUAUAUAGGGAAAUCUUUGAAAAUCUCCUAGUCUGGAACCGUUAGGCCCAGACAGUUGAUAUUUUGUAUGUAGCAUCAUGUAGUAGUCCUCCACCAAGUUUGUUCAAAUUAUGCCCCUGGUGUGGUGUCCGCUAGUGGGAGGUAACUCUUGAUAGUAUUUUCAUUGAUCUUUGCGCUCAAACUUUUGGGUAAUUGUUUAACUUUCCGCUGCUCUGUCUUCCGCUUUUUCAUUUGCUGACGUACUGUAAAUGGUGGCUGAAUGAUAAAUCUUUCGUUCCUUUAUAUUCGGCUCCAUGGGAUGCAUGGUGUAAGUUUUUGCAGUAUAUAAUAAUUAUUCAUGUUCUUUGAUAGUUUGGCCACUUUAUUUUGAAAGCAAAGGCUCUUCUAGCCCAUAUUUUGUUAUUUUAAUUUUUGUGUUAAUUCGUACUUAAACAUGUUCGUACCUUGGUUAAUUUCGUCCGUAGGCCUUUAAUUUUUGGUCCUUUCUUGUAUUUUGGAUUUUUUGGUUUUUUAUGUAAAACUAUUUUAAUUCAAUAUGUGUAAAAGCCAGAAAUAUUGUUGAGAAUGUGUUUUUUAGUAGAUAUCAUUUUUUGUAUUUUCAGUAUUUACCACACAAAUAAAUCGACAGACCAUUGGGCAGUUGACUUUGUUCUUUGUUGUUUACUGAUGGUAUUGUCAUUGGUUCUACUCGCUGGCCCCAACGAUUAUCACAUCAUAGUGCGGUCCGGUACAGUAAAUAACCAUGCUCAGGUUACAUGCAAGCCGAGUAGCUGUGUAUCAUCACACAAGUAACUGUGUAUCAUCACAAGUAACUGUGUAUCAUCACAAGUAACUGUGUAUCAUCACGUUUAUAUGGAAAUAUUAUUCCCGCAUGGAAACAAGAAGUGUCAGAAGACAAACACCUAAAGCCAUGGAAUUGUAUGAACAACGUAGUAAAGAACUGUUUGGCAAAUAUAACAGAUCUGUAAGAGCUUUAGAAGAAUAUAUCUCAGGAAAUAGUGGCCUGUCCAUUAACAGUACAAUUUCUGUACUAAAUAAGUGUAAAGAACAAUGUAAAGGGUUACAUCAAGGUGUACAAACUGCAUACGCCGUCUACAUGAAAUAUUUAGAAGGAAUGAAGAUAGAAGAGAGUGAAAGAGAAAUUACAAGAUUGGACAAUUCAUUUGUUGAUGUCGAACAGAGGGUCCAUGAGUAUUUGGGAACAAUAAAGAAAAUCAAAUCAGAAAAGAUUGACACUAUGUCACAGUGUCCCAGUGAUUCUUCAACUCAUAGUUUAGUGGCUCAGAAAACUGCCCAAGCAAAGGCAGCUAAGGUGCAUGUUGAAUUUGCUGAAAAAGAGAUAGAAUUAAAGAAAAAACAAGCAAACAUUGAUGCCGAUUUGGAACUUUUAAAACUGAAACGAGAAGCAGCGGCACUCGCCACAGAGGCAAGUGAACUAACCAAUCUGAUGUUUGGUUCUCAGCAGGGUUCAGUUACGGAUUUUCAAAUCAAUGAAGAAGAUCCUACUUCUAAAGUUCGUAACUAUCUCAACAGUCAAAUGGGUGAAAACAUUCUCCAUACGUCCAAGAAAGAAACACCGAACACUGAAUCUAACGCCACAGCACAGUUUCUCUUAAGGAAGGAUCUGAUCUUGUCGAGGUUGACCACUUUCAACGACGCCUGUGAGAACUACCAAGCCUGGAAAGCAAGUUUUCAGUCAGUCAGCAAUGAGAUGGCUGUUAAUAGCAGGGAGGAGGUUGAUUUGUUAAUAAAAUACUUAGGUUCUGUUUCCAAGAAACAUGCAAUAAGCCUUAGAACAGCGUACCUGCACGAUUCAGAUGAGGCAUUAAGUCAAAUCUGGCUACGAUUAGACGAAAGAUUCGGAGCUCCUGAAAGUUUGCUUAAUUCCCUGACAAAUAGACUGCACUCUUUUCCAAGUUUAACAAAUAAAGAAAGAGCCAAGUUGUAUGACUUAUCAGACCUCUUACAAGAGAUCGAAGGACUUAUGUCAAACCCAAAGUACGACAAGACCCUGUCUUACUUUGAUUCUUCAAUUGGAGUCAACCCUGUGGUGAACAAACUUCCUCACAGCUUACAGCAAAAAUGGAUCACUCACGCAUCAACAUAUAAAGAAAACCAUUCUGUACCAUUCCCGCCAUUUCACUUUUUCGUGAGCUUUGUGAAAAAGUUCAGUGUUAUAUACAAUGACCCGAGUUUCAUCUACGAAACCCAGAAGACGAAGGAACCAAGUCAACAUAGGACUCGUGAUAUCCUGUAUCAGAGAGCAACAACCAAUGGUCGCGUAGCAGCCGCUAAAACAGGAAUUCAGGAUGAUAGUGAAUCUAGUGUGUCGCGUGAUAAGUGUUUAAUGCAUAAUGGUGCUCCGCAUUCUCUUGCAGAUUGCAAAAAAUUCAAGUGUAUGUCUGAAGAAGAAAAGCAAAAGUUUCUGUUUGAAAAUAAAUUGUGUUAUCAGUGUUAUUCUGGAGAUCAUCAGGCCCGUAAUUGUAAAGAUUCACAGAAGCAGCAUGGUGGGGAGAGACAGUAUUCAUCUGCCGGGAGAAAUGACAGACAAUCCACAGAUCAAAAGCAGAAAGUUGCUAGUAAAUGUACUGAAAUUUGUGGUGAUGAUAUUGUUGGAAAAUCUUGUGCUAAGAUAAUGCUUGUACAUGUUUACACUAAAGAUAAUCCAGAUAAUUAUGUUCAAUGUUAUGCUACUGUUGAUGAGCAAAGUAAUAGGUGUCUAGCAAAACCAGAAUUGUUUCAGUUACUUAAUAUAACUGGAAAAUCUGUUGAAUAUACAAUGUCUUCAUGUAAUGGUAUUUCUGUCAAAUCUGGUCGAGAAUUAGACAAUUUGGUUGUUGAAUCUAUUGACAGAAGUGUACAGUUUGAUCUUCCCACUGUUAUAGAAUGUCAGGACAUACCUAGUAAUAGGAAUGAAAUUCCUAUCCCGAGUGUGGCAGCCAAUCACCCACAUUUGUCAGAUAUAGCUCAUUUAAUCCCAGAAAUAGAUAGCAAUGCAAACAUGCUGUUAUUGCUUGGCCGAGACAUCACAGACAUACAUCACGUCUUAGAUCAACGCUUAGGACCGAAAGGCUCCCCUUUUGCACAGCGUCUGCCCCUUGGUUGGGUUGUAAUAGGCGAAGUCUGCUUAGGAAAUGCUCACAUAGUCCCAGAUGUCAAUGUUAAGAAAACAUAUGUUGUGGGUGACGGGCGAGCCUCGCUUCUUCCGCCAUGUAAUAGCAAAAUACAUGUGUCCGAAUCUAAGGAUGAGUUUGUGUCUGAGUGCAGCUCCACGUAUGUAAUAGACAAUGGUAGAUAUACUCUGUUUAGACCAUGUACAUUGAAUGUUGAUCGUAAUCACGUGCCAGCAUAUGAUUACGAUUUUGUGUUCGCUCUUGAUGUCCGUCAUGAUGACAAAGCGUCUAUGUCAGUAGAUGACCGUAAUUUCCUGUCCAUUAUGGACAAAGAGUUUGUCCUUGAUUCAAAUGAUAGGUGGUCAGCCCCCCUUCCCUUCAAAACACCUAGGCCUAGACUCCCUAACAACAGAUCCCAAGCUCUUCUUAGGGUUAAAAGUCUUCAGACUAACUUGAGUAAACACCCCCUUAAAAGACAACAUUUCGUUGAUUUCAUGGGCAAUUUGCUUGCUAAUGGUCAUGCUGAAAAAGCACCUGAGUUAGACAAUGCUACAGAAUGCUGGUAUUUACCCAUCUUCGGGGUCUAUCACCCGAAAAAGCCUGAUAAGAUAAGGGUGGUCUUUGACUCGGCAGUACAAUAUGAGGGGGUUUCAUUGAAUUCAGUACUACUGCAAGGCCCUGAUUUGACCAAUAGUCUUCUCGGUGUUCUCCUUAGAUUUAGAUGUGAGUUAGUUGCAGUCUCGGUAGACGUAGAACAAAUGUUUUACUGUUUCGGUGUUCAUGAGAAUGAUAGAAAUUACUUGAGAUUCUUUUGGCAUGAGGAUAAUGACACUUCAAAGCCUCUUAUAGAGUAUCGUAUGAGAAAGCAUGUAUUCGGCAACAGUCCGUCCCCGGCUAUAGCUACCUAUGGGUUAAGAAAGGCCGUAGAGAAAUCUGAUAGCGAUGUAGUUCAGUUUGUAGAGAGAGAUUUCUAUGUAGAUGAUGGGUUGAGGUCAUGUAGUACUGUCUCAGAGGCAACUGAUUUGCUUCAACGCACUCAGUCAAGCUUAGCUAAAUCUGGCAUUCGUCUUCAUAAGAUUGCGUCUAAUGCACCUGACGUCAUGAAAAACUUCUCAAAGGAGGACUUGGCUUCGGAUUUGAACCAGGUUGAUUUUGACCUAGAUAGUCUCCCUACUCAGCGCAGUUUAGGGUUAGUAUGGGAUUUGAACCAUGAUUGCUUUUUAUUCCCAAGUCAGGUACAAGAUAAACCGUUGUCAAAAAGGGGUAUUUUGUCAACUAUUAAUAGCAUUUUUGACCCUAUUGGUUUCUUGGCUCCUUUUAUUCUAGAAGGUAGAUUGAUACUGAGGGACGUAGUAUCCAGUGAUGUAGGUUGGGAUGAACCAUUAACCCCUGAAGUUGAAACCAAAUGGUAUCGUUGGCUCAACAGUAUGAAUGAUCUGGAGUGUGUUAGAGUACCUAGGUCACUUUUCACAAUGUCUUUGUCUGAUAUGCGAGAACUUGAGUUGCAAAUAUUCUCAGACGCUUCAGAAAAAGCAAUUUCUGCAGUAGCGUAUGUCGUUGGUUCUAUUGACGACCAUUCUAAAAUGUCAAGUUUUGUUCUUGGAAAAGCUAAAGUAGCGCCCUCAAAGAGUCACACAAUUCCUCGCUUAGAGCUCUGUGCUGCUGUCUUAGCGACAGAGAUUUGUAUGUUAGUUACAGAAAACCUAGGGGUUAAGUUUGAUAAAGUACGGUUUUACACCGAUAGCAAAGUUGUGUUGGGGUACGUUAACAAUCAAUCUCGUAGAUUUUAUACUUACGUUAGCAAUAGAGUUCAGAAGAUUCGACAGGUUAGCUCCCCUCAACAGUGGAAUUACAUUCCUUCGGACAAAAACCCAGCAGACAUUGGAAGUCGUGGUGCAAGUCCUGCUCAGCUUAAUGAGAGCAUUUGGCUUUUAGGUCCAAAAUUUCUAAAUGUACAAGGCGAACCUUUACCAGAGUUUUAUCCACUUGUCAACCCCCAGUCAGACUCUGAAGUUAGAGGUACUAGUAUAGUUGCCAUGACAACCAAAGUUAUGGAAGAAAGUUGUUUAGGGGCAUGUAGAUUUGAGCAUUUUUCUUCAUGGACCAAGUUAGUGUUGGCGAUAGGUUUUCUUGUACACAUUGUGUUGUCGUUUAAAAAACUUGUUCAGUGUAGAGGUUGGCAUAGUUGUUCAGGCAUUCGUUCUUUAGAGAGCAAUUCUAGAGCUACCAUAGUUAUACUUAGAGAAGUACAGCUUGUAAGUUUUAAGUCAGAAAUAGAUUGCUUGAGGUCAGAAAGCUCAAUUAGUGCUAACAGUAAGUUGCUACAGUUGGAUCCGUUUCUUGACGAUAUGGGGUUACUCCGGGUAGGUGGUCGUCUACGUCAGAGUAGUUUACCCUUAGCAGAAAAACAUCCCGUUAUUUUGUCUGCUACUGGUCAUGUACCAAAAUUGGUCAUUAGGCAUUUUCAUGAGUCGGUACAUCACCAAGGACGUUUGCUUACUGAGGGUGCAGUUAGACAGGCCGGUUAUUGGAUUAUAGGUGGUAAACGGGCUAUCUCUUCACUCAUUUUUAACUGUGUGACAUGCAAGAAACUCAGGGGUAGGUUUGAAACCCAAAAAAUGUCAGAUUUGCCAGCAGAGAGAACAGAGCCGAGCUCCGCUUUUUCUAAUGUAGGGGUUGACGUCUUUGGCCCUUGGCAGGUUGUUUCUCGUAGAACACGUAGUUCACAGGCCACAUCAAAACGUUGGGCAGUGCUUUUCACGUGUCUGUCUAUACGCGCUGUACAUAUUGAGGUAGUAGAUGAAAUGUCUUCUUCUGCAUUUGUAAAUGCACUCCGUCGUUUCAUUGCGAUUCGCGGAAAGGUCAAGAUUUUUCGGUCUGACAGGGGUUCAAAUUUUGUUGGAGCUACCGAUCAUAUUGGGGUACAUACAAUUAAUGUAGAGAACGGCCAGGUUAAGGACUUCCUGUCUAAGUCGGGCAGCCUUUGGAUCUUUAACGCUCCUUGCAGUUCACAUAUGGGAGGGGUAUGGGAGCGUAUGAUUGGGGUUUCUAGACGGAUAUUGGAGUCAAUGCUCUCAAACACCCACAAUCUUACCCAUGAUGUUCUUGUUACCCUUAUGGCGGAAGUUAGUGCAAUUGUUAAUGCGCGCCCUAUUGUUCCAGUGUCCUCUGACCCUGACUGUCCGCAAAUCCUUUCUCCAUCAGCCCUAUUGACCAUGAAAAUAGAUACAGAUCAACAACCUGUUGAUGACAUGAACCUAAAAUCUUUGUAUAAAGACCAGUGGAAACGUGUACAGUUUCUUGCGAAUCAGUUUUGGUUACACUGGAGGAAAGAAUUCCUUCAGUCACUGCAGACUAGAACUAAGUGGCAGUCUGAUUGUACACCUGUAAAGGUUAAUGAUAUAGUUCUGCUUAAGGACUAUGAAGUUGCUAGAAACUAUUGGCCAUUAGGUCGGAUCAGUAGACUAUUUCCUAGUAGUGAUGGAAAGAUACGUAAAGUGGAGAUUUGUGUUGUGAAGGAUGGGAAACAAACAUUUUAUGUUAGGCCUAUAGUUAAUACAGUACUUCUGGUUAGGCAUUAAAUUUGUAACUAUUGUUGUGAAGUGAAUUUUGUGAACAGACUGAAUCAGUGAAUUGGUAUACUUGAACAGUAAAAGAACAGUUUUGCGCAAAUAUUCAGUGCAAGAUAAAUCAAUAAACUUCAUGAUUGUAUGUAUAUUGAACAGUUAAUACCUUACAUGUCUUAUAGUUACAUGCACAUGUUGUUAAAUUGUUAUUUUUGUUGAAAAUUGUUUUGUAUCUAUACAAGCAAGUAUAGUGUAACUUUACUUCUACUAAUUUUGAAGACCACCUCCUUGUAAAGACUAGUUGUUAUAUAAGAUUGUAUUUUUAUUUUUUGGUUUUCUGUUUUUUCAAGUCCAGAUUAACUUUAUGGUACAUUUUUGAGGAAAAUUAUUGUUAGUUGCUUAAGUGAUAUCUUCGAUAUCAGGUGGGGAGUGUGGUGUCCGCUAGUGGGAGGUAACUCUUGAUAGUAUUUUCAUUGAUCUUUGCGCUCAAACUUUUGGGUAAUUGUUUAACUUUCCGCUGCUCUGUCUUCCGCUUUUUCAUUUGCUGACGUACUGUAAAUGGUGGCUGAAUGAUAAAUCUUUCGUUCCUUUAUAUUCGGCUCCAUGGGAUGCAUGGUUAUUUACCACACAAAUAAAUCGACAGACCAUUGGGCA